rnacentral:tRNA from 85 species
GGCGGGGUAGCUCAGCUGGUUAGAGCAGAGGAAUCAUAAUCCUUGUGUCGGGGGUUCAAAUCCCUCCCUCGCUACCA